UUCUAGUGGGUCUUUAUUAUUUAGAAAAAUAAAAAUGAUCUGGGGCUCUAUCCAUUCUCACCUAAAAUUUUGGAGUAGGUAACGGCUGCCUACAACGGGUCCAACAUAUGCCCCAAAACUAAAACAAACAAACUCAUUUGCCAUACAAAUUGUUUACGAUUCAUUAAAAAGCAAAAUUGCAUAUCCCGGUGCUGGCAGCUGAGGCCGAGCCUCCACGGGCGGAGGGGGCAUUCACUGAGUUGCCUUUGUAUGCUGGGAGGACCAAGCCGAGGUUCCCACUAUGCAGCCCGGAGUCUGUGCAGCCAGAUGACGCAUGAGUUUUUCUGGAGGUACCACUGAGCUGUAGUCUGCACUGCUCAUCACAUGGACCCCAGGCUUCAAGCAGGUACAGCAUCCAGAGAGGCCCCUUGUGCCUUGCUGCUCACAGCUUACAGACUCAGGGUCUUAUGUGGUAA